rnacentral:rRNA from 1 species
CUACGGGGCGCAGCAGUGAGGAAUAUCGCACAAUGGGGGGAACCCUGAUGCAGCAACGCCGCGUGGAGGAUGACGCAUUUCGGUGUGUAAACUCCUUUUAUAUGUCAAGAAAAUGACGGUAGCAUAUGAAUAAGCACCGGCUAACUCCGUGCCAGCAGCCGCGGUAAUACGGAGGGUGCAAGCGUGAAUCGGAAUUACUGGGCGUAAAGGACGCGUAGGCGGGUUGGAAAGUCAGGUGUGAAAUCCUACAGCUUAACUGUAGAACUGCACUUGAAACUUCUAAUCUAGAGUGUGGGAGGGGGAGAUGGAAUUAGUGGUGUAGGGGUAAAAUCCGUAGAUAUCACUAGGAAUACCUAAAGCGAAGGCGAUCUCCUGGAACAUUACUGACGCUAAGGCGUGAAAGCGUGGGGAGCAAACAGGAUUAGAUACCCUGGUAGUC